CCAAUAGCGUAUAUUAAAGUUGCUGCAGUUAAAAAGCUCGUAGUUGAAUUUCGGGACCAUCAUGUCGGUCGUGCCUCGGUACGUACUGGCAUUGUUGGUUUCUACCUUCUGACGAACCAUGAUGUCAUUUAUUUGGUGUCGUGGGAAAUCAGGACUGUUACUUUGAAAAAAUUAGAGUGUUUAAAGCAGGCUCACGCUUGAAUACAUUAGCAUGGAAUAAUGAAAUAGGACGUUUGAUUCUAUUUUGUUGGUUUCUAGGAUCGACGUAAUGAUUAAUAGGGAUAGUUGGGGGCAUUAGUAUUCAAUUGUCAGAGGUGAAAUUCUUGGAUUUAUUGAAGACUAACUACUGCGAAAGCAUUUGCCAAGGAUGUUUUCAUUAAUCAAGAACGAAAGUUAGGGGAUCGAAGACGAUCAGAUACCGUCGUAGUCUUAACCAUAAACUAUGCCGACUAGGGAUCGGAUGAUGUUAAUUUUUUAAUGACUCAUUCGGCGCCUUACG
rnacentral:ncRNA from 2 species